rnacentral:rRNA from 1 species
UCAGAUUGAACGCUGGCGGCAGGCCUAACACAUGCAAGUCGAGCGGUAGAGAGAAGCUUGCUUCUCUUGAGAGCGGCGGACGGGUGAGUAAUGCCUAGGAAUCUGCCUGGUAGUGGGGGAUAACGUUCGGAAACGGACGCUAAUACCGCAUACGUCCUACGGGAGAAAGCAGGGGACCUUCGGGCCUUGCGCUAUCAGAUGAGCCUAGGUCGGAUUAGCUAGUUGGUGGGGUAAUGGCUCACCAAGGCGACGAUCCGUAACUGGUCUGAGAGGAUGAUCAGUCACACUGGAACUGAGACACGGUCCAGACUCCUACGGGAGGCAGCAGUGGGGAAUAUUGGACAAUGGGCGAAAGCCUGAUCCAGCCAUGCCGCGUGUGUGAAGAAGGUCUUCGGAUUGUAAAGCACUUUAAGUUGGGAGGAAGGGUUGUAGAUUAAUACUCUGCAAUUUUGACGUUACCGACAGAAUAAGCACCGGCUAACUCUGUGCCAGCAGCCGCGGUAAUACAGAGGGUGCAAGCGUUAAUCGGAAUUACUGGGCGUAAAGCGCGCGUAGGUGGUUAGUUAAGUUGGAUGUGAAAUCCCCGGGCUCAACCUGGGAACUGCAUUCAAAACUGACUGACUAGAGUAUGGUAGAGGGUGGUGGAAUUUCCUGUGUAGCGGUGAAAUGCGUAGAUAUAGGAAGGAACACCAGUGGCGAAGGCGACCACCUGGACUGAUACUGACACUGAGGUGCGAAAGCGUGGGGAGCAAACAGGAUUAGAUACCCUGGUAGUCCACGCCGUAAACGAUGUCAACUAGCCGUUGGGAGCCUUGAGCUCUUAGUGGCGCAGCUAACGCAUUAAGUGACCGC